rnacentral:rRNA from 1 species
AAAUUGAAGAGUUUGAUCAUGGCUCAGAUUGAACGCUGGCGGCAGGCCUAACACAUGCAAGUCGAGCGGAAACGAGUUAACUGAACCUUCGGGGAACGUUAACGGCGUCGAGCGGCGGACGGGUGAGUAAUGCCUAGGAAAUUGCCCUGAUGUGGGGGAUAACCAUUGGAAACGAUGGCUAAUACCGCAUAAUGCCUUCGGGCCAAAGAGGGGGACCUUCGGGCCUCUCGCGUCAGGAUAUGCCUAGGUGGGAUUAGCUAGUUGGUGAGGUAAGGGCUCACCAAGGCGACGAUCCCUAGCUGGUCUGAGAGGAUGAUCAGCCACACUGGAACUGAGACACGGUCCAGACUCCUACGGGAGGCAGCAGUGGGGAAUAUUGCACAAUGGGCGCAAGCCUGAUGCAGCCAUGCCGCGUGUAUGAAGAAGGCCUUCGGGUUGUAAAGUACUUUCAGCAGUGAGGAAGGUGGUGUAGUUAAUAACUGCAUCAUUUGACGUUAGCUGCAGAAGAAGCACCGGCUAACUCCGUGCCAGCAGCCGCGGUAAUACGGAGGGUGCGAGCGUUAAUCGGAAUUACUGGGCGUAAAGCGCAUGCAGGUGGUCUGUUAAGUCAGAUGUGAAAGCCCGGGGCUCAACCUCGGAAUUGCAUUUGAAACUGGCAGACUAGAGUACUGUAGAGGGGGGUAGAAUUUCAGGUGUAGCGGUGAAAUGCGUAGAGAUCUGAAGGAAUACCGGUGGCGAAGGCGGCCCCCUGGACAGAUACUGACACUCAGAUGCGAAAGCGUGGGGGGAGCAAACAGGAUUAGAUACCCUGGUAGUCCACGCCGUAAACGAUGUCUACUUGGAGGUUGUGGCCUUGAGCCGUGGCUUUCGGAGCUAACGCGUUAAGUAGACCGCCUGGGGAGUACGGUCGCAAGAUUAAAACUCAAAUGAAUUGACGGGGGCCCGCACAAGCGGUGGAGCAUGUGGUUUAAUUCGAUGCAACGCGAAGAACCUUACCUACUCUUGACAUCCAGAGAAGCCAGUAGAGAUACAGGUGUGCCUUCGGGAACUCUGAGACAGGUGCUGCAUGGCUGUCGUCAGCUCGUGUUGUGAAAUGUUGGGUUAAGUCCCGCAACGAGCGCAACCCUUAUCCUUGUUUGCCAGCGAGUAAUGUCGGGAACUCCAGGGAGACUGCCGGUGAUAAACCGGAGGAAGGUGGGGACGACGUCAAGUCAUCAUGGCCCUUACGAGUAGGGCUACACACGUGCUACAAUGGCGCAUACAGAGGGCAGCAAGCUAGCGAUAGUGAGCGAAUCCCAAAAAGUGCGUCGUAGUCCGGAUUGGAGUCUGCAACUCGACUCCAUGAAGUCGGAAUCGCUAGUAAUCGUGGAUCAGAAUGCCACGGUGAAUACGUUCCCGGGCCUUGUACACACCGCCCGUCACACCAUGGGAGUGGGCUGCAAAAGAAGUAGGUAGUUUAACCUUCGGGAGAACGCUUACCACUUUGUGGUUCAUGACUGGGGUGAAGUCGUAACAAGGUAGCCCUAGGGGAACCUGGGGCUGGAUCACCUCCUUA